rnacentral:rRNA from 1 species
AUACAGAGGGUGCAAGCGUUAAUCGGAUUUACUGGGCGUAAAGCGCGCGUAGGCGGCUAAUUAAGUCAAAUGUGAAAUCCCCGAGCUUAACUUGGGAAUUGCAUUCGAUACUGGUUAGCUAGAGUGUGGGAGAGGAUGGUAGAAUUCCAGGUGUAGCGGUGAAAUGCGUAGAGAUCUGGAGGAAUACCGAUGGCGAAGGCAGCCAUCUGGCCUAACACUGACGCUGAGGUGCGAAAGCGUGGGGAGCAAACAGGAUUAGAAACCCCGGUAGUCC